rnacentral:rRNA from 1 species
UACGUAGGUGGCAAGCGUUGUCCGGAAUUAUUGGGCGUAAAGCGCGCGCAGGCGGCCUCUUAAGUCUGAUGUGAAAGCCCCCGGCUCAACCGGGGAGGGCCAUUGGAAACUGGGAGGCUUGAGUAUAGGAGAGAAGAGUGGAAUUCCACGUGUAGCGGUGAAAUGCGCAGAUAUCGGGAAGAACACCCGUGGCGAAGGCGGCUCUCUGGGACGGUACUGGACGCUGAGACGCGAAAGCGUGGGGAGCGAACAGG